rnacentral:misc_RNA from 1 species
GUACUAUGGGUAUGGAGGGACUUAUGAUGCUUAUGGAUAUGGAGUUGUACAAGAUCCAUCUUUAUAUGCUUAUGGUGCAUAUUCGGGUUAUGCCUCGUAUCCUCAACAGCCAUUUUUCAAUUGGAGUCUAUUGGGUGAAUUCUAAUUGCCCUUUCAGGAUGCUAAGGCUUAGAAUCAGAAUAAAAUGAGUGGGAAUCAAGAGCAAUAUAUUUAUAGAAAAA